GGGGGUGUACUGGUUUCGACUGGGAUGCGAAGUAUUGAUUGCAUGCAGAGGAUAUCGGUUGGCCUCUUUAAAAAGCCGAUAGAACAUUAAGUGCCAAAUCAAGCACAAAAGUAACUGGAAGCAAAGUUGUAGAUUUCCCAGCUCAAUUCGUAGCUGCUGAUCUUGACCUUGCUACAGCUGCAGUUGCAGCUUAAUCUUAACCGAUUAAGCAGCCCGAUAGCCUAAAAUUGGACCGAGGGUUUUAGGGUCUAUCGUUAAGUACUUGGUAUGGUGCGGCGGACCGACAGUCUUUAGGUUGCCGUAUCGAGAUUGAAUAAGGCGGGUUAAUCGUAUUGGAGUGCUCUGCAUAGCGGUUGGCCCAUUUUUCAGAGCACUAAGCAUGUAGUAGUCAUUAUGGAGUAUACUUAGGACGAGAGUUCGAUUCUCUCCACCUCCAGUC
rfam:Waddlia chondrophila WST 86-1044, complete genome.